rnacentral:rRNA from 1 species
UACGAAGGGGGCUAGCGUUGCUCGGAAUCACUGGGCGUAAAGGGCGCGUAGGCGGUGCGGUAAGUCACUUGUGAAAUCUCUGAGCUUAACUCAGAACGGCCAAGUGAUACUGCAGUGCUAGAGUGCGGAAGGGGCAAUCGGAAUUCUUGGUGUAGCGGUGAAAUGCGUAGAUAUCAAGAGGAACACCUGAGGUGAAGACGGGUUGCUGGGCCGACACUGACGCUGGAGCGCGAAAGCCAGGGGAGCAAACGGG